rnacentral:rRNA from 1 species
CAAUAGCGUAUAUUAAAGUUGUUGCAGUUAAAAGCUCGUAGUUGGAUUUCUGGCUGGAGCGAUCGGUCCGCCCCGCAAGGGGUGUGUACUAGCGUCGUCUCCGACCAUCCUUGUGGGAACUGUGCGGCCGUUAACUCGGUUGUAUAUGGGAACACAUCGUUUACUGUGAAAAAUUAGAGUGUUUAAAGCAGGCUUAAGCCGUUGAAUACAUUAGCAUGGAAUAAUAAGAUAAGACUUGGGUCAUUAUUUUGUUGGUUUGCGGAUCGAGGUAAUGAUUAAUAGGGAUAGUUGGGGGUAUUCAUAUUCCAAUGUCAGAGGUGAAAUUCUUGGAUUAUCGGAAGAUGAACUUCUGCGAAAGCAUCUGCCAAGGAUGUUUUCAUUGAUCAAGAACGAAAGUUAGGGGAUCGAAGAUGAUCAGAUACCGU